GGGCGCGUAGUGGAGUGGUUACCACGUUGGUCUUCGAUUAAAGUGUAUAUCGUGAGGUAACCGCUUAAAUAAUCAACCAAAGUUCGUCGGUUCGAUCCCGGCCGUGCUCG
rnacentral:tRNA from 1 species